UACGUAGGGGGCAAGCGUUGUCCGGAUUUACUGGGCGUAAAGAGCGCGCAGGCGGUCGUUCAAGUCGCGUGUGAAAGCCCCCGGCUCAACUGGGGAGGGUCACGCGAUACUGAUCGACUUGAAGGCAGGAGAGGGUAGUGGAAUUCCCGGUGUAGUGGUGAAAUGCGUAGAUAUCGGGAGGAACCACAGUGGGGAAAGGGACUACCUGGGCUGUUUCUUGACGCUGAGGCGCGAAAGCUAGGGGAGCAAACGGG
rnacentral:rRNA from 1 species